GGCUCAGGAUGAACGCUAGCGGCAGGCUUAACACAUGCAAGUCGAGGGGCAGCGCGGAGUAGCAAUACUCUGGCGGCGACCGGCGAAAGGGUGAGUAACGCGUGAGCAACAUGCCCGAUAGUGGAGGAUAGUCGAUGGAAACGUCGUGUAAUACUCCGUAACAUACGGGACCGCAUGAUUCUGUAUUAAUAGAUUUAUUGCUAUCGGAUUGGCUCGCGUACCAUUAGCUGGUUGGCGGGGUAACGGCCCACCAAGGCGACGAUGGUUAGGGGUUCUGAGAGGAAGGUCCCCCACAUUGGAACUGAGACACGGUCCAGACUCCUACGGGAGGCAGCAGUGAGGAAUAUUGGACAAUGGCCGGAAGGCUGAUCCAGCCAUGCCGCGUGCGGGAAGAACCGGCCCUAUGGGUUGUAAACCGCUUUUGUUGGGGAGCAAUAAGGAGCACGUGUGCUUCGAUGAGAGUACCCAGCGAAUAAGCAUCGGCUAACUCCGUGCCAGCAGCUGC
rnacentral:rRNA from 1 species